rnacentral:rRNA from 1 species
GACGUAGGGCGCGAGCGUUGUCCGGAAUUAUUGGGCGUAAAGAGCUCGUAGGCGGUUUGUCGCGUCUGCCGUGAAAGUCCGGGGCUCAACUCCGGAUCUGCGGUGGGUACGGGCAGACUAGAGUGAUGUAGGGGAGACUGGAAUUCCUGGUGUAGCGGUGAAAUGCGCAGAUAUCAGGAGGAACACCGAUGGCGAAGGCAGGUCUCUGGGCAUUAACUGACGCUGAGGAGCGAAAGCAUGGGGAGCGAACAGG